CAGCUGUAAACGAUGCAGACUAGGUGUUUGGACGGCCACGUGCCGUUCUAGUGCCGCAGGGAAGCUGUUAAGUCUGCCGCCUGGGGAGUACGAUCGCAAGAUUGAAACUUAAAGGAAUUGGCGGGGGGAGCACCACAAGGGGUGAAGCUUGCGGUUUAAUUGGAGUCAACGCCGGAAAUCUCACCGGGAGCGACAGCAGUGUGAUAGCCGGGCUGAAGACCCUGCAUGACUAGCUGAGAGGAGGUGCAUGGCGUCAGUGACU
rnacentral:rRNA from 1 species